UGGAAGACUUCAUUGGCGCUAUAAAGUGUCGGUAAUUCGUCACAGGACGUCGCGUGGUACAAUUGGCCGAUGAGGUUACCAUUCAUCCCGCCCCCAUCUGAGGUGACGGGAAAGGGCUGGGGAAUUUCCACUUCUGAUUAAAAUGAUGGCUUAAGUGACGACCCUCAAGAAUUGGUAAAAUUUGGAGUUGACUUCACCCUGCGCUUGGUGAAGCUUAUGCAUCAAGGACGCGAGAGGCACCAAAGUAACGCAGCUCCCACCUGUCGCUCUCCGCCGGGCGCCUAGACUGUGACUGGAGAGUAACUGCAUGGGGAUUGGAGGAAAGGAGCGAUCAGUCUCAGCGAGGCUCCACCUUUCUGCCAUUGCCUGGUUGGAGGAACGUAGCGUCAGUCACCGGAGCGGUCGCCGCCUCCGGGACAGGUCUCCUAAAGGACUGGAGUAUGAAGAGUAUGAAGAGAAAACAGGGCUGGUCAUCACACUGGAGGUUUCUAAGCUCAUCCAGCCAAAGGAGUUCCUGUGGUGAGAAGACCCAUUCCAGUGCCUUUCGGACCCCCACCAGGCCCAACAACUGCAGGAACAGAAACAUAGCCCAGGGCUGUCAGCAACAGCAGCAGAAACAUUAAUAAUAGUAACAUUUAUUGAAUACUUCCUAUGUGCUAGGCAUUGUAUAUCAGCUUCACUGAAUGCUAAAACAUUCCUAUGAGGUAGGUACAAUAAUUAUUCCCAUUGUACAAAGAAGAAAACUGAGACCUUGAGAGAUUGGUUAUUUCCCGGAGGUCACACAACUGGGAUGUGAUAAGCAGAUUGGUUCUACUGCAAAGCCCAAGCCUCCUAACUUCCUCAGUGAGUAAGAAUGAUGCCAGAAGCCACCUGUGUUUUUAUUUACUGACUAACAAAAGGGUCAGCAUUUCCUCUCCUAGGACCUCAGUUUUCUUCUAGGUUUUAUAUUCCUAUCUGUGGUUGAUCAACCCAAAGAGGUUGAGAAAGGAGUUGAAUCA